CUGUCAUUUCUAGGUUUCCACUUGGUCACUGCAGACACUAUGGUGAGAUGAAUGAGAGAGACAGUUUGGUUGAAUGAACAUUGAUGUGAGUUUAUAUCUGCAGGUGUUGAGAAUGUUUUUAUUUUAAUCAAGUGUUCCUUAGCUUCUCUGAAAAUCUUUUCUUGUAAAUGUGUGAAUGAGACAAUGUUUUUCAGUGUUGUAUGUUAUUGCAUGACGCUAUUUGAAUCGUUGUCAGAUGAGAAGUCUUCAAACGUUUUGCUUGUUCUUGAUCUGCAUUUAUAACAUUUCAUAAAUGGACUGAAUAGUGUUUUGCAGUGUUUGGCGUGCAAAUGCUAUUGAGUGCAACAUGUUUGUGUUGAAAUACAAUGCCGUACAUUGUAUUGACAGAAGAAUUAGAAUAUGUUUUUUUGUGUGUGCGUGUGACAAUGUCUGUCAGAGAAUCAGUGAUAGAGCGAGGAAUGGAAGAGGGAGAAAGGCUGAGGGUGGCAGAGACCAAAGGAAGAGGUGUAAAGAAGAGAUAUUGCUGUGUAGCGGAAUAAGGAGAGACUGGAGGGAAAGCAGCUGCAAUAUUACUCUCGGAACCGUUACAGUUCUGUGUGUUGUCUGUGUGAGAAACAGUGUCUAUUAAGGGUCUCUGCGUAUCGUGUUAAAUGUAGAGUGUCAAGUGUGAUUUACAGAGGUUAUAGUGCAAUGAAUGCUAAGCGAGAGGUGGGGCUGUAUUUCCUGCAGUGCCAAUAAGUAUUUAUAGCUUCAUUUCAUAUUUUUUACAGUAUGUGAAACUGAAAACCUUGGCAUUCUUUCGUAUGACAUGAUAUUACUGUGAUGAAGCAGCAAACUACUGUAGCUGGUGGUGGUGUGAAUUAAACAGUAGAGUAAACUCCUUCAGGUGUGUACAGGUAGGUCAGUAGGAAAGAAGGUAGAAAUACGAAAGUAGAUAAACAGGGUGAUAAGUUAGAAAUAGAAAGGUAAAUAAGCAGGGUAUUAAGUUAGAAAUAGAAAGGUAAAUAAGCAGGGUGAUAAGUUAGAAAUAGAAAGGUAAAUAAGCAGGGUAUUAAGUUAGAAAUAGAAAGGUAAAUAAGCAGGGUAUUAAGUUAGAAAUAGAAAGGUAAAUAAGCAGGGUGAUAAGUUAGAAAUAGAAAGGUAAAUAAGCAGGGUAUUAAGUUACAAAUAGAAAGGUAAAUAAGCAGGGUGAUAAGUUAGAAAUAGAAAGGUAAAUAAGCAGGGUAUUAAGUUAGAAAUAGAAAGGUAAAUAAGCAGGGUGAUAAGUUAGAAAUAGAAAGGUAAAUAAGCAGGGUGAUAAGUUAGAAAUAGAAAGGUAAAUAAGCAGGGUAUUAAGUUAGAAAUACAAAGGUAAAUAAGCAGGGUGAUAAGUUAGAAAUAGAAAGGUAAAUAAGCAGGGUGAUAAGUUAGACAUAGAAAGGUAAAUAAGCAGGGUAUUAAGUUAGAAAUAGAAAGGUAAAUAAGCAGGGUGAUAAGUUAGAAAUAGAAAGGUAAAUAAGCAGGGUAUUAAGUUAGAAAUAGAAAGGUAAAUAAGCAGGGUAUUAAGUUAGAAAUAGAAAGGUAAAUAAGCAGGGUGAUAAGUUAGAAAUAGAAAGGUAAAUAAGCAGGGUGAUAAGUAGGAAAAAUAGAAAGGUAAAUAAGCAGGGUGAUAAGUUAGAAAUAGAAAGGUAAAUAAGCAGGGUGAUAAGUUAGAAAUAGAAAGGUAAAUAAGCAGGGUGAUAAGUUAGAAAUAGAAAGGUAAAUAAGCAGGGUGAUAAUGGGCAAACGGAGGGAGAGAGGGGUGAAAGCGGGAUCAUAGGGGUAUACUACAAAGCAGGUUGAGGAGGUAGUGAGCUAACUUUGGUAAACUGAGUUCAACUCUGGCAUUUUUCUGAAAAAUAUAUAUUUCACUGUGACCUGCUGCUGCUUACUAUCAAGCAGUGAGGCAGCCUAUUGCCGAGUGAGUGAGUGGUGGGGACGAGAGGGCAAGAGGGGGUGUGUGUUGAGAUUGAGCGCUGCAGCUGAGUGAGAGGAGCCAAAGCAGCACGCGGGCAAGUCGUGUCAACAUUUUACAUGUUGUAGGUUGGAUUGUCAUUAUUGAGACAACCUACUGUUUUUCCAACUAUUUUCCAUAAAACAUAUUAACGCGCUAGAACUGAUGUUCGUCAAGAAAUAACAGCGUCAAAGCACAGGAAAACUACUUUAGGCGCUCCAGCACAUAUUAGAUACAUUCGCUCAGAGGUGGUUUAAACUGCAUUAUAAACUGGGUGGUUUGAGCCCUGAAUGCUGAUUGGCGAUUCCCACGCCAUAUGACUAAACAUGUAUAUU